GCCUGCAGUACUGUGAGUAGAAUUUGUUUUUGUCGCACUCACUGGUCCCUUAAAAGUGGCUGAGUUCUACGUGAAUUUGGGAAAUUUGAUACAGAUUACAAGACUAAAACAAAGAAAAUGCUUGUCCAUUAAUAUCCGUGCAUGAUUUGAUAUUUUUAAGCUUGUGUGAUUGCUCCACCCCUAAAGCUGGAAUCAAGAGGAGCCACCUUAGCCCAGGAUGGGAGUGGAGCACCAAGUUAGAGGGUGCUGGUACAUGGCCAAGAAUGUCCCCGUGGGAGUGGGUGAGGAGCUUGGGGUCAA